CCUACGGGUGGCAGCAGUGAGGAAUAUUGGUCAAUGGCCGAGAGGCUGAACCAGCCAAGUCGCGUGAGGGAAGACGGCCCUACGGGUUGUAAACCUCUUUUGUCGGGGAGCAAAGCGAGUCACGUGUGACUCAUUGAGAGUACCCGAAGAAAAAGCAUCGGCUAACUCCGUGCCAGCAGCCGCGGUAAUACGGAGGAUGCGAGCGUUAUCCGGAUUUAUUGGGUUUAAAGGGUGCGCAGGCGGACGGAUAAGUCAUCGGUCAAAUCGCGAGGCUCAACCCCGUACUGGCGUUGAAUCUGGUUAGGCUAGAGAGUAGUUGCGGUAGGCGGAACGUAUGGGGUAGCGGUGAAAUGCUUAGAGGUCAUACAGAAGAGCG
rnacentral:rRNA from 1 species